ACCUUCUCUGGAACAUGCGGUGGCAGCAGCGUUCGUCUCAUACCGGAGCGGCGGCGGCACCCGGAGCUCGGAGGCUGCUCCAGCCCAGGGUGCCAUCAGCGCGGCUGGAAAGCUGUUCCCGAGGCCGAGCUCCCAAAGGAUCUGCCAGCAGCACUCCUGAUGUCUCCCAAGCAAGGUGCUGUUUGUUCUGGGCAGAGACAUGGCGCCCCUGAGAGGAGGAGCGUGAAUCCUGCUCCAUUCCUGCAGUGGCAAACGAGCCCCGGCAUCUCCAGGAGGGACCAGCAGCCGCGGUUCCACACUUGCCUGGGGCCCAAGAAGCCUCUUGGCAUCAGCAGGGGGAUGCCACUUGUGAGCGUGCAGUGAGUGCAGAUGUGGAGAAUGGAUUCUGCACCAGGGAUGGGAGUGUGAGGGAGCCCCUGGCUCCCCAGGGCACAGCAGCAACGGGCAAUGAACACAAAAGGAUCCUCAGAAGAUUCCUGGGUGAAUGGUUCAGGUCCCAUCCCAUGGGCACGGCGGUGCUGAUUCUGCUGCUCCUGGUGCUGGUGCUGGCUUUGGGGGCGGCCUUGGCUGUGCUGGCAGCAUCACAGGUUCCAGUCACAUCUGUGACUUUGCUUUUGGUUCUGGGCUGUCCUCAUGGCUACGUGGGCUACAAUGGGGUCUGCUACUACUUCCCACUGGAUUACAGCACGUGGGAGUAGGGUCAGGAACGGUGCUCAGCGCUCCAGGCCUCCCUGGCCAUUGCCAAGGAUGAGGAGGCCAUGGAUUUGCUCUGCCGCCUCUGCGGGAACGGCGAUUUCUGGCUCGGGCUGCGCAGACGGGGCGAGCGCCUGCACUGGGGGGACGGCAGCAGCUACAGCUCCCGGGUUCCUGUCCUCGGCAAUUCCGAGUGUGUGUACCUGGCUGACGAGAGAUUCAAGAGUGGGAACUGCUCCAGUGAGCGGCCGUAUGUCUACAGCAAGGCCCAAGCUCCUCUGUAGCAAGGGCUGCACAAAGGACCUUCUCCACACAGGGCAAUGCCUCCUCUUCCCUUGCUGUCGCUGAGUUGGACAGAACACAAUCAGAAGUAUAUGCCGUUCAUAAGAUAUUUCCCCCUUUAACAGCAUUCUCGGUGAGAGCUCUCAUUGAGAGGUUUGUGAGAUCAUGCUGUCUUAUGUGCUUUCCCAGGCAGUUUAUACCUAUUAUUUUUUUACAAUAAAUGAACACUGUGUUCAUUUGUACAGAGAUGUCCCCACCACUGUUUUCAGCUAACUUCCAACUGCAGGUUUCAUUUGUUUGUCUUUUCUUUUUCUCACUUCCCAUGUCAACAACCUUCGUAGAAUCCAUUUCAGGGGUAGGUGCAAACCUUAUCAGCUUCUUCUCCAACUAACUCUUCCUAGCUCACAGACCAGCUGUCAUCCUCUUUCCGGAAUUCCCCCAUUUUCUAUUUAAGCUGCAAACACAGCUGCUAUGUUGUUUUGUUGAGAGUUUUUUGCAGGACAAUGGAUACAUGCAACAUGUGCACAAUCCAGCCUUCAUAGAAACUGAAUAAGGUCACCAUGCUCUUAAAGGACAGGAAAAAAGAAGAGCACACUCAGAAGCAGACAGUUCAGGAUGCAAAGACAGACAAGAAAACUGCAGUGAGACACAUAAAGAGGAAAGACUAACUAAAAUUAACUUAAAUAUUAAAACGUGUGCAUAAAAUGGAUUUAACCAAUCUUGUAUUAGCUGGAGGCAUGAACAGUAGAACACAAAAUAAAUACAGCUUGCUGUUUGCAAUAAAUGGACUUCACUUGAUCAUAUUGA